rnacentral:rRNA from 1 species
GACGAACGCUGGCGGCGUGCUUAACACAUGCAAGUCGAACGGAAAGGCCCUGCUUUUGUUGGGUUCUCGAUUGGCGAACGGGUGAGUAACACGUGAGUAACCUGCCCUUUACUUUGGGAUAACUUCAGGAAACUGGGGCUAAUACCGGAUAGGAGCUCCUGCUGCAUGGUGGGGGUUGGAUAGUUUCGGCGGUUGGGGAUGGACUCGCGGCUUAUCAGCUUGUUGGUGGGGUAGUGGCUUACCAAGGCUUUGACGGGUAGCCGGCCUGAGAGGGUGAGCGGCGACAUUGGGACUGAGAUACGGCCCAGACUGCUACGGGAGGCAGCAGUGGGGAAUAUUGCACAAUGGGCGGAAGCAUGAUGCAGAAACGCCGCGUGCGGGAUGACGGCCUUCGGGUUGUAAACCGAUUUCGAAUGUGACGAAGAGUGAGUGACGGUAAUGGGUAAAGAAGCACCGGCUAACUACGUG